CCUUGCACAGAUCAGCAACAGACUUUAAAAUAAAUUACUUAUAUACUUUUAGGUUUCAGAAUAGUAAUGUUGUUCUCAACUUUGUAUGUUAGGAUGAAGAAGAGAAGGAUGAUGGUGAAGUUAAAGAAAUUGCUACUCCUACCCAUUGGUCUAAACUUGAUCCAAAGGCAAUGAAGGUAAACGAUCUCCGAAAAGAAUUAGAAAGUCGAGCUCUUAGUUCCAAAGGACUAAAAUCGCAGUUAAUAGCUCGCCUGACAAAGCAGCUUAAAAUAGAAGAACAGAAAGAAGAGCAGAAGGAAUUAGAGAAGUCUGAAAAGGAAGAGGAAGAUGAGGAUGAUAAGAAGUCUGAGGAUGAUAAAGAGGAAGAAGAAAGAAAACGUCAAGAAGAAGUGGAACGCCAACGCCAAGAAAGAAGAUACAUUUUGCCUGAUGAGCCUGCCAUAAUUGUCCAUCCAAACUGGGCUGCAAAAAGUGGGAAGUUUGAUUGCAGCAUCAUGUCUUUGAGUGUCCUUUUAGACUACAGAUUGGAAGAUAAUAAAGAACAUUCGUUUGAGGUUUCAUUGUUUGCAGAACUUUUCAAUGAAAUGCUUCAAAGAGAUUUUGGGGUCAGAAUAUACAAAUCAUUACUCUCUCUUCCUGAGAAAGAGGACAAAAAAGAUAAGGAAAAGAAAAGCAAAAAAGAAGAGAGAAAAGAUAAAAAAGAAGAGAGAGAAGAUGAUAUUGAUGAACCAAAACCAAAACGGAGAAAAUCGGGCGAUGAUAAAGACAAAAAAGAAGACAGAGAUGAGAGGAAGGUCUGUAAUUUCCAAGAUAGUCAAGAGAACUUAAGAAAGUUCUGGUUACCACCUAUAGAUGGUAACAAAGGCCAAGCUCCAAAGUGUUGAAUGUCGUGUUGGACACAGACCAUAUGAGGCUGUCUCAGAAAAUUAGAGCUGGGUAUAGGCCCACGUACCCUGUAAUCCUGGACCUCAGAGGUGGAAAGAGGAGGAUGAGGAGUUCAGGUCCAGCCUGAGCCCUGUAACAAAGCUUAAUAUAUAGAGCCAGUUUCUGAUGUUACUCUCCUCCCUGAUCCUCCUUUUCUUUUCUUUUCCCGUGCUUUUAUUUCUUUCUACCCUUCCUACCUUCCUUCCUUAUUUUAAUGUAUUUGUUUUGCAUAUAUGUGUAUCUAUGCUCUGUGUGUGUGGUUGCUGACCUCUGACACCAGAAGAGCGUGUGGAUCCCAAGACUGAAGUUAAGUUACAUACGGUUGUGGAGCUGUCCUGUGGAUGCUGGGAGCUCUUUAUGUCUGAGCCAUCUCUCUAGCCAACUUCCCUUUUUUUUUUGUUUCUAUUGUUUUCUCUUCUCCCUUCCCUUUCUUUCUGUCAGCUGGCUGUGACCUCCACGUUCUCCUGCCUUCACCUCCAAGUGCUAAGAUUACUGCUGUGCCCCAUCGUGCCACAUUUGAAUAGAUUAUUAUUGUUAUGAGAAGUCUAAUUGGAAUUGUUAGAAAUAAUACAUCCAUUUACUGGGCUUGACAUUUACUUGUCUUUUUCAUGAAAUACUGCUUAAUUUUAAGUCCUCUUAAAUUACAGAAAGAAGAGAAAAGAA
rnacentral:lncRNA from 1 species